rnacentral:rRNA from 1 species
UGAGGAAUAUUGGUCAAUGGGCGAGAGCCUGAACCAGCCAAAUCGCGUGAAGGAAGACUGCCUUAUGGGUUGUAAACUUCUUUUAUACAGGAAUAAAAAAGGGGACGUGUCCCUUAUUGCAUGUACUGUAUGAAUAAGCAUCGGCUAACUCCGUGCCAGCAGCCGCGGUAAUACGGAGGAUGCGAGCGUUAUCCGGAUUUAUUGGGUUUAAAGGGUGCGCAGGCGGGCUUUUAAGUCAGCGGUGAAAUCUCGGGGCUUAACUCCGAAACUGCCGUUGAAACUGGGAGUCUUGAGUAUGGAUGAAGUAGGCGGAAUUCGUUGUGUAGCGGUGACAUGCUUAGAUAUAACGAGGAACUCCGAUUGCGUAGGCAGCUUACUAAGCCAUAACUGACGCUCAAGCACGAAAAGCGUGGGGAUCAAAACAGGAUUAGAUACCCUGGUAGUCCACGCCGUAAAACGAUGAUUACUAGUUGUAUGCGAUAUACCGUAUGUGACUAAGCGAAAAGCGAUAAGUAAUCCACCUGGGGAGUACGCCGGCAACGGUGAAACUUAAAUGAAUUGACGGGGUCAUAGCUGUUUCCUG